rnacentral:rRNA from 1 species
GAUGAACGCUGGCGGCGUGCCUAAUACAUGCAAGUCGAGCGAACAGACGAGGAGCUUGCUCCUCUGACGUUAGCGGCGGACGGGUGAGUAACACGUGGAUAACCUACCUAUGAGACUGGGAUAACUUCGGGAAACCGGAGCUAAUACCGGAUAACAUGUUGAACCGCAUGGUUUAACAGUGAAAGACGGUCUUGCUGUCACUUAUAGAUGGAUCCGCGCCGCAUUAGCUAGUUGGUAAGGUAACGGCUUACCAAGGCAACGAUGCGUAGCCGACCUGAGAGGGUGAUCGGCCACACUGGAACUGAGACACGGUCCAGACUCCUACGGGAGGCAGCAGUAGGGAAUCUUCCGCAAUGGGCGAAAGCCUGACGGAGCAACGCCGCGUGAGUGAAGAAGGUCUUCGGAUCGUAAAACUCUGUUAUUAGGGAAGAACAAAUGUGUAAGUAACUAUGCACGUCUUGACGGUACCUAAUCAGAAAGCCACGGCUAACUACGUG